UACGUAGGGGGCAAGCGUUGUCCGGAUUUAUUGGGCGUAAAGAGCGUGUAGGCGGCCCGGUCAGUCGGUUGUGAAAGUCAGGGGCUCAACCCUUGAAUGCCGACCGAUACUGCCGGGCUAGAGUCCGGAAGAGGCGAGUGGAAUUCCUGGUGUAGCGGUGAAAUGCGCAGAUAUCAGGAGGAACACCAAUGGCGAAGGCAGCUCGCUGGGACGGUACUGACGCUGAGACGCGAAAGCGUGGGGAGCAAACAGG
rnacentral:rRNA from 1 species